rnacentral:lncRNA from 1 species
CCGCGCACGGCAGGAGGCGGCGGGGCCCCGCCGGCCCCCGGGGAGCCGCGGCGGGGGCGGAUGGAGACAGCGGGCACGGCGGCGGGCUGGGGUAAGGCAGGGCAGGGCGGCAUGGGGGAAGGCAGGGGCUGAGCCGGGAUGGGCAAAGGCAGCAGCCGGGGGAGGGCAGGGGCUGAGCCGGGAUGGGCAAAGGCAGCAGCCGGGGGAGGGCAGGGGCUGAGCCGGGAUGGGGAAAGGCAGCAGCCGGGGGAGGGCAGGGGCUGAGCCGGGAUGGGCAAAGGCAGCAGCCGGGGAAGGGCAGGGGCUGAGCCGGGAUGGGGAAAGGCAGGGGCUGGAACUGAACCGGGCUGAGGGGAAGCAGGGGUUGGGGCGGGCUGGGGAGAGGCAGAGCCUGAACCGAGCUGGGGAAAAGGCAAGAGCUGAACCGAGCCGGGGAAAGGAAGGAACCAAGCUGGGGAAAGGCGUGAGCUAUGCCGGGCUAAAAGUUAUUUUCUUCCAUCUUCCUUUCAUCUCUGGAAGCUCCAUCAGUAUUGGGAUAGGCAGCAAUUAUUCCAAUCUCCAAGGAACAGAAGCAUUCCUGCUGUGGCUCUCUGUGCGCAAAAACCCACCUAAGACAGGCCCAGGGGACACCUCCUGAAGGGACAAGUGCAGAAAAUCCUCAUCCUGGGAUCAGAGAAACACCUUGGAGGCUGUCCCCAGCAUCUGGCUCGGGGACAGCAGAAGAGCACAUCUGGCUGCCAGCACUGAGAGCUGCACCCUGAGACCCCAGGACAGCAAUGGAAAGAUGAAUAAACUUCUACUCAUAAACA